UACGUAGGGGGCAAGCGUUGUCCGGAUUUACUGGGCGUAAAGAGCGCGUAGGCGGACGUUUAAGUGUGGUCUGAAAGCCCCCGGCUCAACCGGGGAUGCGGAUUGCAUACUGGACGUCUUGAGGGGGAUAGAGGAAGGUGGAAUUCCUGGUGUAGCGGUGAAAUGCGUAGAUAUCUGGAGGAACAUCGGUGGCGAAGGCGGCAUCCUGGACCGAUAUUGACGCUGAGGCGCGAAAGCCAGGGGAGCAAACGGG
rnacentral:rRNA from 1 species